rnacentral:rRNA from 1 species
UACGUAGGGUGCAAGCGUUUGUCCGGAAUUAUUGGGCGUAAAGAGCUCGUAGGCGGUCUGUCGCGUCGGCUGUGAAAACUGGAGGCUUAACCUUCAGCUUGCAGUCGAUACGGGCAGACUUGAGUUCGGUAGGGGAGACUGGAAUUCCUGGUGUAGCGGUGAAAUGCGCAGAUAUCAGGAGGAACACCGGUGGCGAAGGCGGGUCUCUGGGCCGAUACUGACGCUGAGGAGCGAAAGCGUGGGGAGCAAACAGG